GUCGAGAAUCUUUCACAAUGGGGGCAACCCUGAUGGAGCGACGCCGCGUGGAGGAUAAGGUCUUCGGAUUGUAAACUCCUGUCAUGCGUGAACAAGGUUGCUUGGAUAAUACCUGAGCAAAUUGAUGGUAGCGCAAGAGGAAGAGACGGCUAACUCUGUGCCAGCAGCCGCGGUAAUACAGAGGUCUCAAGCGUUGUUCGGAAUCACUGGGCGUAAAGGGUGCGUAGGUGGCGUGGCAAGUCAGAUGUGAAAGCCCGGGGCUCAACCUCGGAACUGCAUCCGAUACUGCCAUGCUAGAGUACUGGAGGGGUGACUAGAAUUCUCGGUGUAGCAGUGAAAUGCGUGGAUAUCGAGAGGAAUACCAAAGGCGUAGGCAGGUCACUGGACAGUUACUGACACUGAGGCACGAAGGCCAGGGGAGCGAACGGGAUUAGAUACCCGAGUAGUCC
rnacentral:rRNA from 1 species